rnacentral:rRNA from 1 species
AACGAACGCUGGCGGCAGGCCUAACACAUGCAAGUCGAACGAGAAGCUUUCCUUCGGGAAAGUGGAAAGUGGCAGACGGGUGAGUAACGCGUGGGAACGUGCCUUUCGGUUCGGAAUAACUCAGGGAAACUUGGGCUAAUACCGGAUACGCCCUUCGGGGGAAAGAUUCAUCGCCGAAAGAUCGGCCCGCGUCGGAUUAGCUUGUUGGUGAGGUAACGGCUCACCAAGGCGACGAUCCGUAGCUGGUCUGAGAGGAUGAUCAGCCACACUGGGACUGAGACACGGCCCAGACUCCUACGGGAGGCAGCAGUGGGGAAUAUUGGACAAUGGGCGCAAGCCUGAUCCAGCCAUGCCGCGUGGGUGAAGAAGGCCCUAGGGUUGUAAAUCCCUUUCAGCGGGGAAGAUAAUGACGGUACCCGCAGAAGAAGCCCCGGCUAACUCCGUG